ACCCACAGCACAAAUCCUGUUCCAUCGAUGCCACCACAUAGCAACUUUAAGACAGAAAAACCAUAACCCCAACCAAAACAAAGCAAAGAGCAGCAAAACUAGAAAACUUAGAAAUAAACCGGCGCUGGAUGGCACCGGUCCUACUUCCUUCAGCAUGAUUAACCCUCGUCGGAUGUUGUCCUUUAAAUCAACACAGGCAUGCUCUUUACUCCGUUCAUGGCCUACCUCCAAAGACACGCAAUGCCGCAGGUGUCUAAUGGUCCUUCUCCAAUAAGCUCAAAUCUGUUACUAUUACCCCAAAAGAAUAAUAUAAACACCCUACCCAAUAAUAGGGAAGGACUGCCUACUCACUAGG
rnacentral:misc_RNA from 1 species